rnacentral:rRNA from 1 species
GACGAACGCUGGCGGCGUGCUUAACACAUGCAAGUCGAACGGAAAGGCCCUGCUUUUGUGGGGUGCUCGAGUGGCGAACGGGUGAGUAACACGUGAGUAACCUGCCCUUUACUUUGGGAUAACUUCAGGAAACUGGGGCUAAUACCGGAUAGGAGCUCCUGCUGCAUGGUGGGGGUUGGAAAGUUUCGGCGGUUGGGGAUGGACUCGCGGCUUAUCAGCUUGUUGGUGGGGUAGUGGCUUACCAAGGCUUUGACGGGUAGCCGGCCUGAGAGGGUGACCGGCCACAUUGGGACUGAGAUACGGCCCAGACUCCUACGGGAGGCAGCAGUGGGGAAUAUUGCACAAUGGGCGGAAGCAUGAUGCAGCAACGCCGCGUGCGGGAUGACGGCCUUCGGGUUGUAAACCGCUUUCGCCUGUGACGAAGCGUGAGUGACGGUAAUGGGUAAAGAAGCACCGGCUAACUACGUG